rnacentral:tRNA from 1 species
AGAGAUGUAGCUCAGUGGUAGAGUGCUUAGCUUGUGCAAGGACCUAGGUUAAAUCCCUAGCUCCACUA